rnacentral:rRNA from 1 species
CAGGCCUAACACAUGCAAGUCGAGCGGUAGCACAAGAGAGCUUGCUCUCUGGGUGACGAGCGGCGGACGGGUGAGUAAUGUCUGGGAAACUGCCUGAUGGAGGGGGAUAACUACUGGAAACGGUAGCUAAUACCGCAUAACGUCGCAAGACCAAAGAGGGGGACCUUCGGGCCUCUUGCCAUCAGAUGUGCCCAGAUGGGAUUAGCUAGUAGGUGGGGUAAUGGCUCACCUAGGCGACGAUCCCUAGCUGGUCUGAGAGGAUGACCAGCCACACUGGAACUGAGACACGGUCCAGACUCCUACGGGAGGCAGCAGUGGGGAAUAUUGCACAAUGGGCGCAAGCCUGAUGCAGCCAUGCCGCGUGUGUGAAGAAGGCCUUCGGGUUGUAAAGCACUUUCAGCGAGGAGGAAGGUGGUGAGCUUAAUACGCUCAUCAAUUGACGUUACUCGCAGAAGAAGCACCGGCUAACUCCGUGCCAGCAGCCGCGGUAAUA